rnacentral:rRNA from 1 species
GACGAACGCUGGCGGCGUGCUUAACACAUGCAAGUCGAACGGAAAGGCCCUGCUUUUGUGGGGUGCUCGAGUGGCGAACGGGUGAGUAACACGUGAGUAACCUGCCCUUGACUUUGGGAUAACUUCAGGAAACUGGGGCUAAUACCGGAUAGGAGCUCCUGCUGCAUGGUGGGGGUUGGAAAGUUUCGGCGGUUGGGGAUAGACUCGCGGCUUAUCAGCUUGUUGGUGGGGUAGUGGCUUACCAAGGCUUUGACGGGUAGCCGGCCUGAGAGGGUGACCGGCCACAUUGGGACUGAGAUACGGCCCAGACUCCUACGGGAGGCAGCAGUGGGGAAUAUUGCACAAUGGGCGGAAGCCUGAUGCAGCAACGCCGCGUGCGGGAUGACGGCCUUCGGGUUGUAAACCGCUUUCGCCUGUGACGAGGCGUGAGUGACGGUAAUGGGUAAAGAAGCACCGGCUAACUACGUG